rnacentral:rRNA from 1 species
UACAGAGGUCUCAAGCGUUGUUCGGAUUCAUUGGGCGUAAAGGGUGCGUAGCGGCGCGGUAAGUCGGGUGUGAAAUCUCGGAGCUUAACUCCGAAACUGCAUUCGAUACUGCCGUGCUUGAGGACUGGAGAGGAGACUGGAAUUUACGGUGUAGCGGUGAAAUGCGUAGAUAUCGUAAGGAAGACCAGUGGCGAAGGCGGGUCUCUGGACAGUUCCUGACACUGAGACACGAAGGAGCCCAGGGGAGCAAACGGG